rnacentral:rRNA from 1 species
UACGUAGGCAGCGAGCGUUGUUCGGAGUUACUGGGCGUAAAGGGUGUGUAGGCGGUUCUUUAAGUCUGGUGUGAAAUCUCCCGGCUCAACCGGGAGGGUGCGCCGGAUACUGAAGAGCUAGAGUGCGGGAGAGGAGAGUGGAAUUCCUGGUGUAGCGGUGAAAUGCGUAGAUAUCAGGAGGAACACCGGUGGUGUAGACGGCUCUCUGGACCGCUACUGACACUGAGACACGAAAGCGUGGGGAGCAAACAGG